UAAGACGAACCGUGCGAACGUUGUUCGGAAUCACUGGGCUUAAAGGGCGCGUAGGCGGUUUGCCAAGUCGGGGUUGAAAUCUUUCGGCUUAACCGGAAAAGUGGCUUCGAUACUGGCAGACUGGAGGGAGGUAGGGGCAGAUGGAACUUCCGGUGGAGCGGUGAAAUGAGUUGAUAUCGGAAGGAACGCCGGUGGCGAAAGCGAUCUGCUGGACCUCUUCUGACGCUGAGGCGCGAAAGCCAGGGGAGCAAACGGGA
rnacentral:rRNA from 1 species